CUGGGAUUGGCUCCUGUUUGUGCUACUUCCUGAAUAAACAAAAACAGAGGAGAACAGCUGGGCAGGUUUUGGCCCAGAGCUGAACUGCAGAAGACGCUGUUAAAAGACACCUUAGUGGGAUUCCACCUUCUCCCACUGUGUGUGUGUCCGGGACAGAGCGUCUGGAUGUAAUCUGCCAUGUGAGGGAGCAGGGGGCAUUACAGUAAGAGAGAAAGUGAAACUCUUAGGAAAUUGUAAAGUUCUUGGGAGGAGUCACAAGAAACAACGACUUCACUGAGAAGGAUGAUGGAGAAAGGAUAUGAGAUUCUCUCAAAUAACACGUAUACUAAUACUGUCAGUGUUAAUAUCACAGAGGAGUCUGAGUGCUUCAUUUGCAGAGAUGGCCUGGUGGGUGAAGAUCCUCUGAGAACCUUCUGCGACUGUAAGAACCUUGUAGCUCACCACAGCUGUCUGCUAACCUGGAUCAAAAAGGGUCUUGGACGAAAGGAGAGACUCAGAUGUAGCGUUUGCAACGCUGAGGUAAGUGUAUGCGCUAUAGUUGUUAUUAUUAAUACUAUAGUAUUUAUUAAGAUUUUUAAAAUAGGUUUAUGCUUUCAGUUUUCAUUAAAUUUUAUGUUUAAUGUAGUAAUUAUUAUAUGCUUUUGUCUUCAUUAAUUUUUUUUAUUUAUUUUCUAUUUAGCUUUUUUUUCAUUUUCAGUUCUAGUGCUUUAACUUCAAGUUUAUUUUUGUCUUAAAUUAUUUUUUAUUUUAUUUCAGGUAUUUUUAUUUUAUUUCAAUUAAUUAAUUUU
rnacentral:lncRNA from 1 species